UAGGGAAUCUUCGGCAAUGGACGAAAGUCUGACCGAGCAACGCCGCGUGAGUGAAGAAGGUUUUCGGAUCGUAAAACUCUGUUGUUAGAGAAGAACAAGGACGUUAGUAACUGAACGCCCCCUGACGGUAUCUAACCAGAAAGCCACGGCUAACUACGUGCCAGCAGCCGCGGUAAUACGUAGGUGGCAAGCGUUGUCCGGAUUUAUUGGGCGUAAAGCGAGCGCAGGCGGUUUCUUAAGUCUGAUGUGAAAGCCCCCGGCUCAACCGGGGAGGGUCAUUGGAAACUGGGAGACUUGAGUGCAGAGGAGGAGAGUGGAAUUCCAUGUGUAGCGGUGAAAUGCGUAGAUAUAUGGAGGAACACCAGUGGCGAAGGCGGCUCUCUGGUCUGUAACUGACGCUGAGGCUCGAAAGCGUGGGGAGCAAACAGG
rnacentral:rRNA from 1 species